AACAAUCUUUAAAAUGAGCCGGGAGAAGAACACGGCUGUGCCCUUGUAUCCAGUGCAGUUGUGAUCCGUGUAUGCAGAGGAUUGCGGCAGAUUCGAUAAUUUCUACUCCAUUUACCAUGGAACAGGAAGAUCCCGGAUCCACAAAGGAAUUCAUCCCUUACACACUGGACACCAGUGACUUCUGUUGGAACUUGUUAACCUUAAUAGAGAAGGUUAAGAGACAAUAUAGAGUUGCUUGCUGCAUUAUUUUGUCUGGUGUUUUCUAGGGAUCGACCGAUAUCGGGUUUUUUAGGGCCGAUACCGAUAAUCGGUGGAGGUUAGGGCCGAUAGCCGAUAACUUAUACCGAUAUUCCGGUAUAAGUUAUCGGCUAUUUAUUCCCCCCUCGACA